AGCGAACGCUGGCGGCAGGCUUAACACAUGCAAGUCGAGCGGGCGUAGCAAUACGUCAGCGGCAGACGGGUGAGUAACGCGUGGGAACGUACCUUUUGGUUCGGAACAACCCAGGGAAACUUGGGCUAAUACCGGAUAAGCCCUUACGGGGAAAGAUUAUCGCCAAAGAUCGGCCCGCGUCUGAUUAGCUAGUUGGUGAGGUAACGGCUCACCAAGGCGACGAUCAGUAGCUGGUCUGAGAGGAUGAUCAGCCACAUUGGGACUGAGACACGGCCCAAACUCCUACGGGAGGCAGCAGUGGGGAAUAUUGGACAAUGGGCGGCAAGCCUGAUCCAGCCAUGCCGCGUGAGUGAUGAAGGCCCUAGGGUUGUAAAGCUCUUUUGUGCGGGAAGAUAAUGACGGUACCGC
rnacentral:rRNA from 1 species